rfam:Schistosoma mattheei strain Denwood, Zambia genome assembly, scaffold: SMTD_scaffold0000998
AUUCAACUGACAAGUUCCGAAUAGGACGAAAUGCGCAUCAAAUUGGAU